GACGGAGGGUGCUAGCGUUGUUCGGAAUUACUGGGCGUAAAGGGCGCGUAGGCGGCUACGACAGUCGGGUGUGAAAGCCCGGGGCUCAACCCCGGAACUGCAUCCGAUACUCUGUGGCUAGAGACCGGAAGAGGUGGGUGGAAUACCCAGUGUAGAGGUGAAAUUCGUAGAUAUUGGGUGGAACACCGGUGGCGAAAGCGGCUCACUGGUCCGGUUCUGACGCUGAGGCGCGAAAGCGUGGGGAGCAAACAGG
rnacentral:rRNA from 1 species